UACGUAGGGUGCAAGCGUUGUCCGGAAUUAUUGGGCGUAAAGAGCUCGUAGGCGGUUUGUUGCGUCGGCUGUGAAAUCCCGAGGCUCAACCUCGGGUCUGCAGUCGAUACGGGCAAACUAGAGUGUUGCAGGGGAGACUGGAAUUCCUGGUGUAGCGGUGAAACGCGCAGAUAUCAGGAGGAACACCGGUGGCGAAGGCGGGUCUCUGGGCAACAACUGACGCUGAGGAGCGAAAGCGUGGGGAGCAAACAGG
rnacentral:rRNA from 1 species